rnacentral:rRNA from 1 species
GACGAACGCUGGCGGCAUGCCUAAUACAUGCAAGUCGAGCGAACAGAUGAAGUGCUUGCACUUCUGACGUUAGCGGCGAACGGGUGAGUAACACGUAAGGAAUCUACCUAUAAGCGGGGGAUAACAUUCGGAAACGGGUGCUAAUACCGCAUAAUAUCUUCUUCCGCAUGGAAGAAGAUUGAAAGACGGCUCUGCUGUCACUUAUAGAUGACCUUGCGGUGCAUUAGUUGGUGGGGUAAUGGCCUACCAAGACGAUGAUGCAUAGCCGACCUGAGAGGGUGAUCGGCCACAUUGGGACUGAGACACGGCCCAAACUCCUACGGGAGGCAGCAGUAGGGAAUCUUCCGCAAUGGGCGAAAGCCUGACGGAGCAAUGCCGCGUGAGUGAAGAAGGCCUUCGGGUCGUAAAACUCUGUUAUAAGAGAAGAACAAAUUGUAGAGUAACUGCUACAGUCUUGACGGUAUCUUAUCAGAAAGCCACGGCUAACUACGUGCCAGCCGCCGCAGUAA